rnacentral:rRNA from 1 species
UACGGGAGGCAGCAGUGGGGAAUCUUCCGCAAUGGACGAAAGUCUGACGGAGCAACGCCGCGUGAGUGAUGACGGCCUUCGGGUUGUAAAGCUCUGUUAAUCGGGACGAAAGGCCUUCUUGCGAAUAGUGAGAAGGAUUGACGGUACCGGAAUAGAAAGCCACGGCUAACUACGUGCCAGCAGCCGCGGUAAUACGUAGGUGGCAAGCGUUGUCCGGAAUUAUUGGGCGUAAAGCGCGCGCAGGCGGAUAGGUCAGUCUGUCUUAAAAGUUCGGGGCUUAACCCCGUGAUGGGAUGGAAACUGCCAAUCUAGAGUAUCGGAGAGGAAAGUGGAAUUCCUAGUGUAGCGGUGAAAUGCGUAGAUAUUAGGAAGAACACCAGUGGCGAAGGCGACUUUCUGGACGAAAACUGACGCUGAGGCGCGAAAGCCAGGGGAGCGAACGGGAUUAGAUACCCCGGUAGUCCUGGCCGUAAACGAUGGGUACUAGGUGUAGGAGGUAUCGACCCCUUCUGUGCCGGAGUUAACGCAAUAAGUACCCCGCCUGGGGAGUACGACCGCAAGGUUGAAACUCAAAGGAAUUGACGGGGGCCCGCACAAG